AGAGAAAAAUAAAGAGAAAGAAAGAAAAAGAGAAAAAUAAAGAAAAAAAGAAAGAAAAAAGAGAAAGAAGGAAAAGGGAGAAGAAAACGAACUACAUUUCCCGAGAGGCCCCCGCGCGCGGAGACCGGAAGUGGGGGCGGGAAGGCGCCCGGAUCCGCUUCCGCGAGACGCCGGGCGCGCGGGAUUUAAACGCGGCGGUUGACGCCUCGUGCGUUUCUGACAGAAUUUUUACGUCCGUUCGUGUCCUUCUCUCUCUCUUCCCCGCGCUCGGCCAGGACGGUGAUGAACACGACGCUGGUCAGCCGCCUCCCCCGGCCUCACCAUCAAGAUCCAACGCAGUAACGGUUUAAUCCACAACGCCAAUGUGAUUGACGGUGAACUUGGAAACCUCUUCCGUGUCCGUCGAAUGGGCAGAAGGCGGAGGCACAAAGCAAAGAGGUACAGCUGGCUUUAUUUCCCCCGCCGUUCUUUCCCACCUGAAGGAUUAGCCCGUUUACCUCCUCACAAGGCAGCCUUGGAAUUAAAAAGUUGAGUAAUAGCUGCUGGGGUCCAUCCCGUCCCUCAUAGUAGUAAUAAUAAUCAUUAUAGGUGUUCGUUAAGCGCUCACUAUGUGCCAGCCACCGUACGAAAUGCUGUUACUAAUCCAGGGCGAAGGCCCGCUCCGCCUCGCACGGUAGGGGGAGCUUUUUCAGCCGCGGACGCGGCACGGAGAGCGAACAGCCCCGGAUGACUGAAUCGGUGAAUCUCGGCGUCCUUUUGAGCGAGCUCUGGUUGCGAAGCCGAGCUGGGUUUUGCUUCCUUGAGGCGUCCCGUUGCCGCCCUGCCGCGCCCUCCCUCCUUGGCGAUACGAGGUGAUCAGGUUGUCCCACGUGGGGCUCCCGGUCUUCAUCCCCAUUUGACAGAUGCGGGAACUGAGGCCCGGAGAAGUGACGUGACUUGCCCACAGCCACCCAGCUGACAAGUGGCGGAGCCGGGAUAGAACCCAUGACCUCUGACUCCCAAGCCUGGGCUCUUUCCACUGAGCCACGCUGCUUCUCAUUAUCUUGCAUCUACCCCCGUGCUUAGUACAGUGCCCAGCACAUAAUCAAGCACUACCAUUAUUUACUGUCCAGCCACCUUGUCUGUAUCCACCCAGCGCUUAGCACAGUGCCUGGCAUGCCGGCAAGCGCUUGACAAAUGCCGCCGUUAUUAUUAUUCUCGUUAUUAUUAUUUUCCCAAUGGGCUGCAGCGUUGGCAAGUGGCACGUAGGCGACUAGCAGCCCCGGUCAGUGACAGAGCGCUAGGCUGCCUAGGAAUCGGCCGGGCCCCUCCCAUCAGUAGAACUGAGGCAGCGCUUACCGUGGAAGGAGCACUGUGCUAAAAGGGAAGUCAGCGUGGCCCGGCGGAAAGAAUCCGGGCCCGGGAGUCAGAAGGACCUGGGUUCUAAUCCUGCGUCUGCUGGGUGACCUUGUCGCUUCGCUUCUCUGGGCCUCAGUUGCCUCUUCUGUAAAAGGGGACAGGGACCGUGUCCAACCUGAUGAACUCGGGUCUACCCCGGGGCUUAGAACAGUGCCUGGCACAUUAAUAAUAAUAAUAAUGUUGGUAUUUGUUAAGCGCUUACUAUGUGCAGAGCGCUGGUCUAAACAUUGUAAGCGCUUAACAAAUACCAUCUAAAAAACUGGGCCCUCUUGCGCUUUGGGGUGGUCUUACGGACUCCGAUUGUGAGUCGAGGUGACGGAAACAAUUCCUCCUCGCCCCGGAGAAGGAGCGGAGUAUGGCGUAUGUCCGCCCGCCUGGACUUGUGACGUCACCGUCGCGGGAGCCCGCCACGGCGGAGGGGGGCACGCCAGGAAACCUAAGCGGGAGCCAGUCGC
rnacentral:lncRNA from 1 species